rnacentral:rRNA from 1 species
GACGAACGCUGGCGGCGUGCCUAAUACAUGCAAGUAGAACGCACAGUUUAUACCGUAGCUUGCUACACCAUAGACUGUGAGUUGCGAACGGGUGAGUAACGCGUAGGUAACCUGCCUGGUAGCGGGGGAUAACUAUUGGAAACGAUAGCUAAUACCGCAUAAUAUUAAUUAUUGCAUGAUAAUUAAUUGAAAGGUGCAAUUGCACCACUACCAGAUGGACCUGCGUUGUAUUAGCUAGUAGGUGAGGUAACGGCUCACCUAGGCGACGAUACAUAGCCGACCUGAGAGGGUGAUCGGCCACACUGGGACUGAGACACGGCCCAGACUCCCACGGGAGGCAGCAGUAGGGAAUCUUCGGCAAUGGACGAAAGUCUGACCGAGCAACGCCGCGUGAGUGAAGAAGGUUUUCGGAUCGUGAAGCUCUGUUGUAAGAGAAGAACGGGUGCGAGAGUGGAAAGUUCACACUGUGACGGUAUCUUACCAGAAAGGGACGGCUAACUACGUG